rnacentral:rRNA from 1 species
ACGCUGGCGGCAGGCCUAACACAUGCAAGUCGAGCGGUAGAGAGAAGCUUGCUUCUCUUGAGAGCGGCGGACGGGUGAGUAAUGCCUAGGAAUCUGCCUGGUAGUGGGGGAUAACGUUCGGAAACGGACGCUAAUACCGCAUACGUCCUACGGGAGAAAGCAGGGGACCUUCGGGCCUUGCGCUAUCAGAUGAGCCUAGGUCGGAUUAGCUAGUUGGUGAGGUAAUGGCUCACCAAGGCGACGAUCCGUAACUGGUCUGAGAGGAUGAUCAGUCACACUGGAACUGAGACACGGUCCAGACUCCUACGGGAGGCAGCAGUGGGGAAUAUUGGACAAUGGGCGAAAGCCUGAUCCAGCCAUGCCGCGUGUGUGAAGAAGGUCUUCGGAUUGUAAAGCACUUUAAGUUGGGAGGAAGGGCAUUUACCUAAUACGUAAGUGUUUUGACGUUACCGACAGAAUAAGCACCGGCUAACUCUGUGCCAGCAGCCGCGGUAAUACAGAGGGUGCAAGCGUUAAUCGGAAUUACUGGGCGUAAAGCGCGCGUAGGUGGUUUGUUAAGUUGGAUGUGAAAUCCCCGGGCUCAACCUGGGAACUGCAUUCAAAACUGACAAGCUAGAGUAUGGUAGAGGGUGGUGGAAUUUCCUGUGUAGCGGUGAAAUGCGUAGAUAUAGGAAGGAACACCAGUGGCGAAGGCGACCACCUGGACUGAUACUGACACUGAGGUGCGAAAGCGUGGGGAGCAAAC